AUGCAGAUUAUAAGGCUCUGCCCCAAGAGAUUCUCACACAGAGGGUCUGGGGUGAAACCUAAGGAUCUGCUGUAUCAACAGGCACCAGGUGAUUUGGAGGCAACGGGUUCAUAUUCAGGCCAUGCUGACUGUCCAGCCUGGGAGCUCCUGGAAGACUGGCAGGCCAGAUAUCUUCACCUCCAUGGUGUCCACACACUGGUAGAAAUAGCAUGGGGUAAGAUGAGAAGUUAUUUGUGUAAUUACAGCCACAAUAAGGGAGAGAGAGAGCAUCUGCAAUGAAGAUAGGUAAGCCAUGUGGAGCUGUCUAUGGAGGAAGGCCUGAGGGAAAGGGUGGGACUUUCAAAUUAUGUCUGUGGACUUUAUGGACUUUAUUUAUUUCAGAUCACUCAGAGACUUCAUCUAUCCAGCAUGGAAUAAGGGGAAGGGAGGGGUCCUAAAGUGAGUUUAGAAACUGUUGUAUGGUCCAAAUCAGCUCCUAAGAAUGCUUUCAGCUGCAAGAAACAGAAGCCCAACUCAAAUUGGCUUAAACAAAAAGGACAUGUAUGAAUUAUGUGGAAUAGAUUUUCAUUGAAUGAAAAUCUAGAGGAGUUCAGAUUCAGGUAUGGUUUGAUCAAGCUUUUUGCUUCAUUUUUCUGUGAUUGUCACAAGUCUUCAUUCCUCUAUUGAUGAAUUUGCUUCCCCAGGCUAAUUCGUCUGAAAGUCUUUGGGUGGCUACAGUUGGCCAUCAGAAUUACCUUGCUUUCUUGUUCACAGAGAAGAAAGGAAGAUAACAAGUGAGGAGGCACUCGUUCCUUUUAGAGCAGACCUGCUAACAGGCAAAUUCCUGACUUAGCCUGUUGAUAAUUUCAUUUCCCAGAGGGUCAGAAGGUCACUUGGUAUACCUCAUAAAAGAAAACAACAAUUUCCUCUGAAGACUCUAAGCAAAUAUUUUUAUCUAUGUUGGCUGCAAUGAGCCUAGACAUCUCUAUUCUGAAGUCCAUUACUGAGGAAGGUUGAUAGGAUUGACUCAAAAUAAUCAGCCAGAGUGAAAGAAUUGAUAGUAUUUGUGAUGCAUUUCUGUGUAACAAACAACCACCGAGUCUCAACAAUAAGCAUUUAUUUAGCUCCUGUGUCUGCGUGUGGACUGUGGCUGUCUGAUGUAGGACUGGCCCAGCUAUUAUAACUUGGCUGGGUUUGCCUUGCUUCUCUGGUCCAUGUAGCUUCUCCUGGGAUUACAGGCAGGUUCUUCUCAUGAUGAUGGUACAAGUGAAAGAUGACACGUGGAAGCAUGCAAAGCCUCUUAAGGCUUAGGUCUAGAAGUGAUGCACCAUCACUUCUGUCUCAUUUUAUUGGCCAAAGCAAACCACGUUAAUUCAAAAGGAGAAGAAAUAUACUCUGUCUGGUUAGUGGAGGAACUUCAAAAUCAUAUGGCGGGUACUGUGGGCACAGCUAAGGGUAGGGUGAGGUGAGUGAGCACUGUCUUCCAAGUUUAAGGUGGAGGUGCCAAGAUAUUUAAUCAAGAUAAAUAUUUUAAUGAAAUAUUUUAAAAAAUCAAAAUCAAUGCAAAAAAAAACCAUCCUAAGCAUAGUGCCAAAUUUUUAAAUAAAGACAGCAUCAGUAUAGGGAAGCA
ensembl:lncRNA